UUGAUCCUGGCUCAGAACGAACGCUGGCGGCGGGGUUUAGGCAUGCAAGUCGCGCGUGAACGUCCUUCGGGGCUAUUAGCGCGGCGAAAGGGUGAGUAAUGCUUCGUUAAUGUACCCAUGGGACCGGGAUAAUUCCUGGAAACGGGUUGUAAUACCGGAUGAGACCCCAGGCACCACGGUGCCGGUGGUCAAAGGCAUGUUGCUUUCGGGCGCAUGCGCCGAUGGAGCGGACGAAGUCUGAUUAGCUUGUUGGUGGGGUCACGGCCUACCAAGGCGAUGAUCAGUAGCGGGCCUGAGAGGGUGGCCCGCCACACUGGGACUGAGACACUGCCCAGACUCCUACGGGAGGCUGCAGUCGCGAAUCAUUCACAAUGGACGGAAGUCUGAUGAUGCCACGCCGCGUGCGGGAAGAAGGCCUUCGGGUUGUAAACCGCUGUCGAGAGGGGGGAAGUAUUGACUGCCCUCUGGAGGAAGCCCCGGCUAAACACGUGCCAGCAGCCGCGGUAAUACGUGUGGGGCAAGCGUUGUUCGGAAUCACUGGGCUUAAAGGGUGCGUAGGCGGCCUAUCAAGUCAGGGGUGAAGUCCCGCGGCCCAACCGUGGAAUUGCCUUUGAUACUGGUGGGCUUGAGUGUGCCAGGGGUGAGCGGAACGUGUGGUGUAGCGGUGAAAUGCGUAGAUAUCACACGGAAGGCCGGAGCCGAACGGGGCUCACUGGGGCACAACUGACGCUGAGGCACGAAAGCGUGGGGAGCAAACAGGAUUAGAUACCCUGGUAGUCCACGCCGUUAACGAUGAGCACUAGG
rnacentral:rRNA from 1 species